AGCGAACGCUGGCGGCAGGCUUAACACAUGCAAGUCGAACGGGCGUAGCAAUACGUCAGUGGCAGACGGGUGAGUAACACGUGGGAACGUACCUUUUGGUUCGGAACAACUGAGGGAAACUUCAGCUAAUACCGGAUAAGCCCUUACGGGGAAAGAUUUAUCGCCGAAAGAUCGGCCCGCGUCUGAUUAGCUAGUUGGUGAGGUAAUGGCUCACCAAGGCGACGACCAGUAGCUGGUCUGAGAGGAUGAUCAGCCACAUUGGGACUGAGACACGGCCCAAACUCCUACGGGAGGCAGCAGUGGGGAAUAUUGGACAAUGGGCGAAAGCCUGAUCCAGCCAUGCCGCGUGAGUGAUGAAGGCCCUAGGGUUGUAAAGCUCUUUUGUGCGGGAAGAUAAUGACGGUACCGCAAGAAUAAGCCCGCUAA
rnacentral:rRNA from 1 species